rnacentral:lncRNA from 10 species
AGCAAUCAGCGAGACUCCGUGGGCAUAGGACCCUCUGAGCCAGGUGCGGGAUAUAAUCUCGUGGUGCACCGUUUUUUAAGCCAGUCUGAAAAGCGCAAUAUUCGGGUGGGAGUGACCCGAUUUUCCAGGAGAGACAAAUACCAAGGAGAUAUCAGGAAGAAUAUUGUCCCCAGUAAAUACCAAGUCACAUCAGGAAGAAUAUUGUGGAGAGAGAGGUAAAGAAUCAGGAUGGAAACAGAAAAUAGGCCGAACAAUGGCCAAGCGUCAAAAUCCUACGUCAGGACAGUGCUAGGACUGCUUUUUUCUAUAUCAGACACGUGGGCUCCUGCUGUGUCUUCCUGGAAAGCAGAGGCCAAGGAUGGAGCAGACCAAGAGGAUGCCAGGAAAAAUCACAAAGAAGCCCAGAAAGCACAGCUGGAAGCCAAGAACCCUAUUUUUGGUUUGUGUGGGUGGAAGGUGAGGGACAACAUAUAGUGACCAACAGGAUUCUUCAUUUGAAAGAGAAUGGAGUACAUCAGACCUGUGUAUUUAGGUGAAGUAUGAUAA